rnacentral:rRNA from 1 species
GCUUACGGCCACACCUCCCUGAGCACGCCCGAUCUCGUCUGACUCUCGGAAGCUAAGCAGGGUCGGGCCCUGUUAGUAAACUUGGAUGGGAGACCGCCUGGGAAUACCAGUGCUGUAAGCC